UACGUAGGGUGCGAGCGUUGUCCGGAAUUAUUGGGCGUAAAGGGCUCGUAGGCGGUUUGUCGCGUCGGGAGUGAAAACACGGGGCUUAACCCCGUGCCUGCUUCCGAUACGGGCAGACUAGAGGUAUGCAGGGGGAGAACGGAAUUCCUGGUGUAGCGGUGAAAUGCGCAGAUAUCAGGAGGAACACCGGUGGCGAAGGCGGUUCCUGCUCGGCAUUACCUGACGGCUGAGGAAGCGAAAGGUGUGGGGAAGCGGAACAUGG
rnacentral:rRNA from 1 species